GACGAACGCUGGCGGCGUGCCUAAUACAUGCCAGUCGAACGCUUCUUUCCUCCCGAGUGCUUGCACUCAAUUGGAAAGAGGAGUGGCGGACGGGUGAGUAACACGUGUGUAACCUACCCAUCAGAGGGGGAUAACACUUGGAAACAGGUGCUAAUACCGCAUAACAGUUUAUGCCGCAUGGCAUCAGAGUGAAAGGCGCUUUCGGGUGUCGCUGAUGGAUGGACCCGCGGUGCAUUAGCUAGUUGGUGAGGUAACGGCUCACCAAGGCCACGAUGCAUAGCCGACCUGAGAGGGUGAUCGGCCACACUGGGACUGAGACACGGCCCAGACUCCUACGGGAGGCAGCAGCAGGGAAUCUUCGGCAAUGGACGAAAGUCUGACCGAGCAACGCCGCGUGAGUGAAGAAGGUUUUCGGAUCGUAAAGCUCUGUUGUCAGAGAAGAACAAGGACGUUAGUAACUGAACGUCCCCUGACGGUAUCUAACCAGAAAGCCACGGCUAACUACGUG
rnacentral:rRNA from 1 species